rnacentral:rRNA from 1 species
ACGCACGCUGGCGGCGUGCUUCACCCCUGCCAGUCGAACGGAAAGGCCCCUUUGGGGGUACUCUAGUGGCGAACGGGUGAGUAACACGUGAGUAACCUGCCCUUGACUUCGGGAUAACUUCAGGAAACUGGGGCUAAUACCGGAUAGGAAUCCUUGCUGCCUGGUGGGGGUUGGAAAGCUUCGGCGGUUUUGGAUGGACUCGCGGCUUAUCAGCUUGUUGGUGGGGUAGUGGCUUACCAAGGCUUUGACGGGUAGCCGGCCUGAGAGGGCGACCGGCCACAUUGGGACUGAGAUACGGCCCAGACGCCGACGGGAGGCAGCAGGGGGGAAUAUUGCACAAUGGGCGGAAGCCUGAUGCAGAAACGCCGCGGGCGGGAGGACGGCCUUCGGGUUGUAAACCGCUUUCAGCAGGGGCGAAGCUUGUGGUGACGGUACCUGCAGAAGAAGCACCGGCUAACUACGUG